rnacentral:rRNA from 1 species
UACGAAGGGGGCUAGCGUUGUUCGGAAUCACUGGGCGUAAAGCGCACGUAGGCGGAUUGUUAAGUCAGGGGUGAAAGCCUGGAGCUCAACUCCAGAACUGCCUUUGAUACUGGCAAUCUCGAGUCCGGAAGAGGUAAGUGGAACUGCGAGUGUAGAGGUGAAAUUCGUAGAUAUUCGCAAGAACACCAGUGGCGAAGGCGGCUUACUGGUCCGGUACUGGACGCUGAGGUGCGAAAGCGUGGGGAGCGAACG